rnacentral:misc_RNA from 1 species
GAUGAAGAACGUAGCAAAAUGCGAUAAGUAAUGUGAAUUGCAGAAUUCAGUGAAUCAUCGAAUCUUUGAACGCACAUUGCGCCCCUUGGUAUUCCGAGGGGCAUGCCUGUUCGAGCGUCAUUACACCACUCAAGCUAUGCUUGGUAUUGGGCGUCGUCCUUAGUUGGGCGCGCCUUAAAGACCUCGGCGAGGCCACUCCGGCUUUAGGCGUAGUAGAAUUUAUUCGAACGUCUGUCAAAGGAGAGGAACUCUGCCGACUGAAACCUUUAUUUUUCUAGGUUGACCUCGGAUCAGGUAGGGAUACCCGCUGAACUUAAGCAUAUCAAUAAGCGGAGGA